rnacentral:rRNA from 1 species
UACGGAGGGUGCAAGCGUUGUCCGGAUUUAUUGGGUUUAAAGGGUGCGUAGGCGGUCGACUAAGUCAGUGGUGAAAGGCUGCAGCUUAACUGUAUGCACUGCCAUUGAUACUGGUUGACUUGAGUACAGUCGAGGUAGGCGGAGUUUAUGGUGUAGCGGUGAAAUGCAUAGAUACCAUAAAGAACACCGAUUGCGAAGGCAGCUUACUAGGCUGUAACUGACGCUGAGGCACGAAAGUGCGGGGAUCAAACAGG